rnacentral:lncRNA from 1 species
AGAUGUAGACUGACAGUUUACUGGUCACCUGCACUAACAGCCUGAGAGAAAAGGACACUGCAUAUCACAGAGAGAUGCAUAGAUGUUACACUCAGAAAGAGAGUGAACAACUAGAAGAUGUGGAAGGCAAGCUUUUUAGUAUUAAGAGGAAAAUUCCAAGGGCCAAUUUUGAAACAAACCAGGCAGAGACCCAGAUGCAGAAUCCUGCAGGCUGAGGGAUGUUAGGAAGAGUUAGCCCACCACUGCUGCGCUGAAACCAGGAUGACGCAAACUGGGCCUCAGGCCAGGCUUAGAAUAUAAACUGACACCUUGAAGAAGUGACCAUCUUGUAAUCAACACUUUAUUCUAAGGAUAACAGAGAUAAAUGAUAUAAGGAUCUCUGUUUCUUAAUGGCAUUGUUGAGCCCUAAACUUUCUACUGCUAGAUAUUUUAUCGCAUGAAAUAAAUAAGCCUUAGUUGCUUAAAA